rnacentral:rRNA from 1 species
AAAUAUACUAAGGCGCUUGAGUGAUCCGCGGUUAAGGAACUAGGCAAAUUAACCCCGUAACUUCGGGAGAAGGGGUGCCCACAGAAAUGUGGGCCGCAGAGAAAUGGCGGUGGCGACUGUUUAACAAAAACACAGGGCUUUGCGAAAUCGAAAGAUGAAGUAUAAGGCCUGACACCUGCCCGGUGCCGGAAGGUUAAGAGGAGAGGUUAGGAGCAAUCCAAAGCUUUGAAUCGAAGCCCCGGUAAACGGCGGCCGUAACAAUAACGGUCCUAAGGUAGCGAAAUUCCUUGUCGGGUAAGUUCCGACCUGCACGAAUGGUGUAACGAUCUCCGCUCUGUCUCAACCGCGAGCUCAGUGAAAUUGUGGUAUCAGUGAAGACGCUGAUUACCCGCCACGGGACGGAAAGACCCCAUGCACCUUUACUAUAGUUUAACAUUGAUUUCGGGUAAGUGAUGUGUAGGAUAGGUGGGAGGCUUUGAAGCAGUGGCGCCAGCCAUUGUGGAGCCAACGUUGAAAUACCACCCUUUACUUACUUGGAGUCUAACUCCCAACGGAGGACAUUGUUUGAUGGGUAGUUUGACUGGGGUGGUCGCCUCCGAAAGGGUAUCGGAGGCUUUCAAAGGUUCGCUCAGUACGCUUGGUAACCGUACGUAGAGUGCAUUAGCAUAAGCGAGCUUGACUGUAAGGCCGACAAGCCGAACAGGUGCGAAAGCAGGAUAAAGUGAUCCGGUGGCUCCGUAUGGAAGGGCCAUCGCUCAUAGGAUAAAAGGUACGCUGGGGAUAACAGGCUGAUCCCUCCCAAGAGCUCACAUCGACGGGGGGGUUUGGCACCUCGAUGUCGGCUCGUCACAUCCUGGGGCUGGAGAAGGUCCCAAGGGUUCGGCUGUUCGCCGAUUAAAGUGGCACGCGAGCUGGGUUCAGAACGUCGUGAGACAGUUCGGUCCCUAUCUGUGGUGGGCGUUAGUUAUUUGAGGGGCCCUGACUCUAGUACGAGAGGACCGAGUCGGACGUACCGCUAGUGUACCAGUUGUAUCGCCAGAUGCACCGCUGGGUAGCUAUGUACGGAUGAGAUAAGCGCUGAAAGCAUCUAAGCGCGAAACUCACCUCAAGAUAAGAUAACUUUAUAAGGAUCGUAGAAGACUACUACGUUGAUAGGUUACAGAUGUAAAGGCAGCAAUGUCAAAGUCGAGUAAUACUAAUUAUCC